rnacentral:rRNA from 1 species
CUUAAGCAUAUCAAUAAGCGGAGGAAAAGAAACUAACGAGGAUUCCCCUAGUAACUGCGAGUGAAGCGGGAAAAGCUCAAAUUUAAAAUCUGGUGGUCUUUGGCCCAUCCGAGUUGUAAUUUAGAGAAGCGUCUUCCGCGCUAGAGCCCGUGCAUAAGUCUCCUGGGAUGGAGCGUCAUAGAGGGUGAGAAUCCCGUCUUUGGCACGGGUGAAUCUGGUGCUUUUUGUGAUGCGCUCUCGAAGAGUCGAGUUGUUUGGGAAUGCAGCUCAAAAUGGGUGGUGAACUCCAUCUAAAGCUAAAUAUUGGCGAGAGACCGAUAGCGAACAAGUACCGUGAGGGAAAGAUGAAAAGCACUUUGGAAAGAGAGUGAAACAGUACGUGAAAUUGUUGAAAGGGAAACGCUUCAAGUCAGUCGCGUCGACCGAGACUCAGCCUUGCCUCGGCUUGGCGUACUUCUCGGCUUGACGGGCCAACAUCAAUUUCGUCCCUCGGAUAAUGACGAGAGAAAUGUAGCACCUUUGCGGGUGUGUUAUAGUCUCUUGUCGCAUGCGAGGGGUGGGAUUGAGGAACUCAGCACGCACCUUUGAUGGUGUCGGGGCCCUUGGCCCACGCUUUACGUGCUUAGGAUGUUGGCGUAAUGGCUUUAAACGACCCGUCUUGAAACACGGACCAAGGAGUCUAACAUGCCCGCGAGUGUUCGGGUGGAAAAACCCGUGCGCGUAAUGAAAGUGAAAGUCGGGACCUUCGUCGUGAAGGGCACCGACGCCCGGACCAGACCUUCUGUGACGGAUCUGCGGUAGAGCGUGCAUGUUGGGACCCGAAAGAUGGUGAACUAUGCCUGAAUAGGGUGAAGCCAGAGGAAACUCUGGUGGAGGCUCGUAGCGAUUCUGACGUGCAAAUCGAUCGUCAAAUUUGGGUAUAGGGGCGAAAGACUAAUCGAACCAUCUAGUAGCUGGUUCCGC